GUUUUUGCAGCGGCGGAAGUGGAAGUUUCUUUCUCCGGAGGAUAGCGUCGUUCUCUGUGCUGAGACCGAGAGUUUGACUGUAUUUCUCAUCUUGUUGAGGAUGAAAAAGGACCAGGAAUCAGCCACUCAGCCCUGAGCCAACUCCUCGGAAGAAGUAUGGGAGGAGCCAGUUUACAUAUGAUUUCUGGCUGGUGAAUGCCUGCAGUCAAGCAUCUAUCUUGAUCUGCGCUCGAGGGGAUGUUCUGGAGUCCCUGUUGCUCCAAUGUCGCCCUGAUGCACAGUGAUACUGGUCCUUGGAAACCACCUGUCAGUCACCUGGGGCAUGAGGUGCUGAGGGAAUGUGAAAAACAGUAAGACAAGCCUGGGCAUUUCUUACUGGAGUGGAUUUUUGUUAGGUGAGAAAACUGAAACAGAGAGGUUAAGUG